UAACCUAAAAAAGAAUGGAGAUUAGAGAGCAAGCUCAAUAUUAAGAUUAUGCUGCAAAGCCUGAGCUUGGUAAGAGCAGCAUUACAAAGCAGGCUCAGAUAAGACUCUUAUUUCAAGGAGCCUAUUUAUAGCAUUGCAGAUUUGUAUUUAUUCAAGGGUACCUAUAGUAUACAGGCUGUGAGAGACGACUCAUUUAGCACUAAGUUCUCAGUAAUUGGCUAUCAACUCAGGGGACCUGUGCAUUGGGAUCCGCAUUUCUGACCUCAGGCUGUGGAUAGCCGUGUGGCUCUGCAAAGCCCAUUGAGCACAGCAACUCCAUCUCUCCCAGUAAUCAACACUAACUCGCAGGUCUUGCGGCAAUGCCAACGGGCAGGACACGGUGACUCAGUAUGUUCCUGGUGCCAAGCCAAUUCAGGAAGCCGUUCUGGGAUUUUCCUCAUGGAUCCCUG